rnacentral:tRNA from 1 species
GGGAGUGGAUGGGGCCCGGUGGCUCCCGCGGUCUUCAACACCGUUGAGGGACUUAACACCCCUGGAAGGUUCGACUCCUUUUCACUCCCGCCA